AUUGAACGCUGGCGGCAGGCUUAACACAUGCAAGUCGAACGAGUGGCGGACGGGUGAGUAAUGCUUGGGAAUCUAGCUUAUGGAGGGGGAUAACUACGGGAAACUGUAGCUAAUACCGCGUACCAUAGGAUGAGCCCAAGUGGGAUGAGGUAGUUGGUGGGGUAAAGGCUCACCAAGCCGACGAUCUCUAGCGGGUCUGAGAGGCUGACCAGCCAAACGGGGACUGAGACACGGCCCAGAAUCCUACGGGAGGCAGCAGUGGGGAAUAUUGCGCAAUGGGGGCAACCCUGACGCAGCCAUGCCGCGUGAAGGAAGAAUGCCGUCGGGUUGUAAAGUAAUUUCAGCGGGGAGGCGUUACCCGCAGAAGAAGCACCGGCUAACUCCGUGCCAGCCGCCGCGGUAAUUC
rnacentral:rRNA from 1 species